UACAGAGGUCUCAAGCGUUGUUCGGAUUCACUGGGCGUAAAGGGUGCGUAGGUGGUGAGGUAAGUUUGAUGUGAAAGCUCCGGGCUUAACCCGGAAAUGGCAUUGAAUACUAUCUCGCUUGAGGGUUGGAGGGGAGACGUGGAAUUCUUGGUGUAGCAGUGAAAUGCGUAGAUAUCAAGAGGAACACCAGUGGCGAAGGCGAGUCUCUGGACAACUCCUGACACUGAGGCACGAAAGCUAGGGGAGCAAACAGG
rnacentral:rRNA from 1 species